AGGGGAGAAAACAAGGGAAUAUUUCUUCGAACAUGCUUGUGCAGCAAUGUAAUGACCUGUCAUUACGGGUAAUUCCGGCCUUUCCCUAACAAUCCUCGUAAAGGGUCGCAUCGAUGAUUUUUUAAAAGCUUCUAGUUGAAUGUCUACCUUAGACCGUGUUAGAAAGAAAUUUUGGAAUUUUCUGAAUUCAUUUAACCGCCUCGGUGGUCUGGGAGCCGUCAUGGGGAUCUCGCUAUGGUGAGAGGCUGUCCGCCAUAGCGAACCCUAGAGAUUUUAAGUAAGUCCUCCACGGCAGGACUCUUGAGCGUCAUAGCGCUUCCACCAUGGCAAUCAUCCUUUCGCCACGACGGAAUAGCGUGACCAGAAAUUCUAUUUUUUGCCCAACUUCAAAAAUUUUGUUCCAUUUCCAAAACUUAUGUUCUAGGUCUAAAAGGGGAAAGUUUCCAAGGCAUCUUGUGAGGUUCACCAUUGGGGACUACCCUCGCUCUAAGGCAUUUGGCUACAGAAGGCGCAAGUGGAGUAGUUGGUGGUUCUUGUUCGGCAUUUGAGGUUAUAGAUGUGUUUCAGGUUAGUGCUCGAGGUUUCAGUAGCUGGCGUUAACGGAUGUCAUCCUAAAGCUUCCUGUAUAUUUUCAUUCUAAAAACAGAAGUUAUAUUAUCUUAUUGUGGUCAUUUCUUGUGUUGUAGAAACACUUGUACAAGUCUAGACCCGAUUUUGGGGAAGUCUAUUUAAUAAUUGAGGUGACUUUUAUACUUC